UGUAUUUUGAUGCUAAAUUUCUAUUAUACAUUUAUCUUUACAGGCACUGCAAGGUUUCGAUGUAUUCUUGACAAUGAAUAUAUAUUUAGUAAACAGAAGUCAAAUGCAAUACUAAAGGCACAAACAAUUCAGGCAGUUUAAGAGAGACGUUUCAAUGGGUGUAGAACUACCACUAGAAGGUGUGGACGACCCACGACGUGAGUUUGUUUGAAAAGAUAAAUGUCUACGGACACUAGCUGCAUUGCUGCUGGUAGCUGACGAAACGGUGGCUGUAUCGUCAUCUGCCGCAGCCAGUUCUUCCUCACUUCGACCCUCUGCAAUGGUGGAGGACAACACGUCCGUUCGUGGACUGUAGUGCGGAUGAAAUCGGUUAUUGCGUUGCUGUUGCUGCUGACUAAGCCUACUGGCAAUGUAGCUCACUCUAGCACUACGACGAAUCAAAUUCUCCAGUGCUGGAUGUUUCGUCACUGGACUAAUAUCAGGAGAAAUGGGCGGCCCUCCUUUGUUCCCGACUAUUCCGGCCGGUGGAGGUUGGGUAGCUUUGAGUUGCUCUACGGCCGAAAUCUUUUUAUUAGACGCCGGAUGAUGGAGCUGCUGGAGCAGCUUUCGUUUGAAAUCAGAAAUGGUGGUUCGUUUGACCAAUCCGAUAGAAUGUACAACCAUUUUGGGUUGUGGUGAUGAGGAAGCCGGUGCUGCAGCAUCUGAGGGUCGGAACGGCCAAGGACCGGGACGGAUAUCCACGGAAUCGUUCAAGCUGGACGUGGAAAAGGAACCAUCGAGCGAACAAGAGGAAAACGAAGGUGUUGGCGAUGAUCCUCCUUGUUGUUGCUGAUGCUGUUGAUGCUGUUGAUGCUGUUGAUGCUGUUGAUGCUGUUGAUGCUGUUGAUGCUUUACAGUACUGGGAGACCCAGACGCCGUUGAAGAGCUGAAAGAACUGGAACGUUUGACGGAAAAUUCCAGAAAUCCACCUUCUUCUGGGCUUUCUCUUCCGCUAUUUCUGGCUGCCAUUGCUGCUGUUUUCGACGGAGAUGGCAGUGUGCUAGUUCUCCUUUCGUUAUUUCCAGAGUUUGGGCUUGGCAAAUACUGAUUGUUUUCCGGUUCGAAUGAAGAGCGUCUUCCAGUCAAGGAGGCAUAAUAAUCAGCCACCGUUUUGAAUCGAGCCGGAAGCGAAUUGUAGCGCAAAUCUUUUCGUUGAAAUUCUGCCGAUGCUGACGUGUUAGACAGCUGGGCCAAAGGCAAUGCGGACAUCCUGGGCGGAGGUGACAAAGACUGAUAGCCCGGAAGAGGUGAAGCGUCGUUCAAUUUCGAACUAGUUCCGGCACCAUCUCCAUCUAUUGAGAAACCAACAUUGAAAAUAGAGGAGAUGCAAGAAUGAUUUGUCAUGGAACGAAGCCCUGAAAAAUCCAACUCUAAGUCAGUGAAUAAAAAGGGAUGCAAACGAAAUCACGAGCAAAACGAUAAGCGGAAUGGGUGCGGUGCAAUAAUAGAAGCCAGGCCGUGAAACAGUGUGAAAAUAAGAAAAGAAAAGCAAACAAAAACUUUCAAGGAUUCGCUUCAGGCACAAAAGGUAAAAAAACAAAACAAAUUGUCGUGCAGUGUGAGAAAAGAAAAACAAAACGAAACGCAUAACAUUAUGGCAUGGCAGGAAGAAAGCCAACGAAAUUACAAACAUCAAAACGAUAACGUGAGGUGAGACCCAUUUGGCAACCCCCUCCGGCUAAAGCAUUUCUGCAAUUACCAAAUGUCAGUGUUGUUGUUUCUGCGAUUACCUGGAGUGACGUUGAAGAAGCUAGGCCGAUCCUGGGCAUUGGUCGGUGGACGGACGACUGGACUGGGUGGCGGAACACCGUUGAACCCACCGGAUUUCUUGUGCUGUUGACUCGUCAUGGAAAUGUCCAAGCCACUGCCGCCACUCGAAUUGAGGCUGCUGACACUGCCGCUCUUGUUGUUGUUGUUGUUUUGAUUGGCUGGCGGUGAAAAGAUUUUCGGAUUGACCAAGAGUCGAGGACCACCGUAAAUCCGCCGCCCGGCCGCGUUGGGAUUAUUAAUUCCAUUAGUAGGCUUGACCAGGAGUGGGCUGGAUGUCAUCAUUGCUGGACUGGAUACUUGCCGAUUGUAGAAUUGCCUACUAGGUCGUGCACUGGAAUUUGCCUGGACGGCAGUGAAUCCCGGAUUGGAGAUUUGCUUCACCAACAUGGGACUCUUGAUUGCGUAAUUCAUUGGCUGGGCAGUGGUAGAAGUCCGGUUAUUGGGCCAUCCGUUGGGUCUGUCGGUCAAGUGUCCCGAAAUGAAUUGGCCCGUUCCAGCGGGUGAUCCAGUCAUCUGUCUGUGUCUCGUCUCUCCGUUGACUGCGAAUCCGCUUAAAGUGUGGCUAAGUGGAGCGAGUCUUCCGCCGCUGGACACGGGAGCUGUCGGAGCAACCGAUAGAGUCUGAUUGGCUUUGCGGUAGCUGUCGGACCGAUUGCGCUGGAACGCGCCAGCCGCGUCGCUUCCAUUGUCGACUUGGUCGUCUACGUUGGCCAGUCGAUAGCUGUCGGAUCGCGAGACCAUGAUCGUCGGAAUAGCGGAACUGCUGCUACUGCCAUUGCCAGUGGAUGAACUUUGCCCAUCCGGUUGGGUCCUGACGGCCGGAAUCGUUGAGGAUGAACGGACGCCGUUGAACGUCGGAGCUGGCCGGUACGGCGGCGGACUGAGGGGCUUACUCUGAUUGCCUACAGCUGCUCCAGUGGAUCCGAUCGGGUUCGGACGGAAAGCGGACGUUCCAGGAUCCAAUUUCCUCUCUUGAUUUUGGCUGCCAUUGCCCGGCUCAACGAAGGUGCUGUGCCCAGCUUGGGCCUUUCUCCUCUUCAACGAGUCUGAGCUGUAGACGACUUUGCCGUCCGAAUCCAACGUCACUCGAGCGCCCCGUUUCUUGCGUUCCAGCGAGCUGGAACGUGAACUUUCGCUGCUUCCGGCCGACGAAAACGGCUGAAGGGAAAGCGUUUCGGAAUCGGCGGCCGGCAGUUGACUCAGAGCCACAAGUUCCUGAUCGGUUGGGCAUUUGACGACGGACGCCUUGAUGACGAUGGGCGUCGAUUCGGCGGAUGCCGCAAUGGCGGCCGGAAGAUCGGCCACGUUGACUCGAGUCCGACUCACGGCACUGGGACGGACGUCGGAGGCGGCAACCUGUUGGAGGAAUGCCGAUUGAAUGUGGGAUUCGAGACUGGCUCCGCCAUUGCGAGCAGUUGCGGCCACAUCUUGGAAAUCUUCAUCGCUGGGCAACGGAGUGAUGGAUGGAGUGACGACGCACAUGGCAGGAAUGCGCUCGAUUUGGGUCAAGUUGGCUCGCAUGGGCUCCGCUUCCGGCGAAUUGAAGGCGUCGACCUCGUUAUUCCUCAGUUGUUUUAAGGCGUCGGCAAUCUCUUUGGAUUCCGUUUCCGUCACUAAUUGACGCAAAUUCUCUUCCGGAAGCUUCCGGAUUUUGCCGGAAUCGAGGGAAUUUCUGUUGCUGCUGCUGCUGCUGCUGCCAUUGCGUGGGGGCGGUUCCGGUGGUUGGCUGUUCCUCUUCUUUCGGCUGGCUGCGCUAUUGCUGUUGACCCCAUCCGGCCGGAAUAUGACUGUACCGGCCGAGCUGGUCGUCGCGCUGGACAGCGUGCUCCCCUUACCGAAUAAUUCGUACUCGUUUUCGGGCGUCGCUACGAUCGGUUGGACACCACCAGAACUGCUGCCGGAAGCGGAACUCAUUCCCGAUGAGCGAUCGCUGCCGUUGGUUUCCUUGGCGGUGACGGACGCCCGAUUCUUGUGACCUUGAGAGUUUUGAGGCCACUGUCGAUAUGGAAGGAGGUGUAAUAGCCUUCGGCGUCACAGCUGUAAACGGAACUCGUUUCCAGAUCGAGAUCCUGUUCGUUGUGGUUGUGAUGGCCGUUUUCGUCUGCUCGAUGGAUGCUGGAUGUCGUGGUGGCGCUGCAAUCGUCACCCGAAAGUGCCGAAUCGACGUCCAUUUCCGGCGAGAAAGAUCUGGCCGUUUGCGGCUGGAUGAGCCUCGGAUGGCGUUGCGCCAAAGGCGACACAGCCGCCGUGUGAUGAUGAUGAUGAUGAUGAUGAUGACGCGGAUGAUCGGAAUCCAGCGAAGCUCUGGUACUGCAAGAACUGCCGGAAGCGGACCAGUUUCCAGACGAAGAUCGGCCAUCUUCUUUGUUUUCUUUAUUGCCUCUCAGCUUCACCUUUUUAUUUCGAUUUUUUUAAAAAAAUAUUUGAGCUGGCGUUUUAGACUCGGUUGAAAAAACAAACGAAACAAACAGUUCAAACUGUUUCUUCGAGGCGCAGCCUUGCGGUGAACAAACUAAACUGUUGAAACAUUUGAUCCCCGUCGCACACAAUGGAAGCGUGAAGAAAACCCGAGCCCAAUUUUCCAAACAGCUUUUAUUCACGCUCGAUAACUUAAUGCGACACGAGAGACGACGUGUCGCCCCAGGGUCACACCGUGAAAAGGCCAAACGAUCGGAUCUCCUUUUCUUGCCGGCCUUUUCUUGCUGGCCGGCAAAAUGGUCUCGUCUUUCGCGCAGUAAAACGCGAGGUGGAACGUGUUUGUUUCAUUUUUUUUGUUUUCAUCGCAAACAGAUUGGGAAACCGCAUGACUGGACGCGCAGUGCCCAACGUUCCCGAAUUCUUUUUCGCUGGGAAUGAGUUCGUAAAGAUCGGAGUCUCUUGCAAUCGAUUCGGUCCGGUUUUGAUCGCCGGCAGCUCCGUUUGCAGAGGAAUGAGGCGGCGGAUGAACAUCAACCUGAAUUGCUGUUUUUUUUUAAUUUAAAAAUAAUUAUAAAAAAGAUUUAAUUUAAUAAAAAAAGGGAAUCGAAAUGCGUCACCUGCUGUUGUACCCGAAACGAACGUGUGAUCGGUUCCCAAUCGCCUCAGACGUGAAAUGGUGUUCAUCAUGGCGCCGGAACGGGUCCGGGUGGCUGUCACCAAGUUGCCGGCCGUCACCUGGACAACCAGUUCGCUGGAGGCGUGCGACGUGGCAUCGGUCGUCGUGUUGCUGAUGGACUGCGUGUUGGUGUCGCUCUCGUCGUACGACAUGUCGGACGACGUCAAUGCCGACCCAGCCGACGCUCCUUUGCUGCCCGUCGAGGGCGUCGUCAUCAACGACGUCCUCAGCAGGUGCACCAAAUUGAGCCGCUGACGUAACGAGCUCCUCGAUCCGCACUUUUCUCCGUCGUUUCUUCAAUGCCACCCGAGCCAAAAAGUCGUUUAGUUCAAUGUCGAAUGAUUUGACUUUGAUUUCAUUCAUUUAUGAAAACCUGCUGAGCGUGGAAGUAUUGACCCUGAGGGCGUGUUGGAUGUCGUGCGCGGUCGCCGUCGCAGGCGAUCGUGUUGCGUCGUUUCUUGGUCGACUUUUUCUUGCUGCGUUUGCGGCUCUUUGCGGCCCGUUGCGCUUCGUUUGCAUGUCCCCCGCCAGCCGACGCGUCAACGUACUCGAAAUGCUGCAACGAGCGCCGGAAUUGGGUCAUGCGCUCGAAACCCGAGCCCGUCACGUCCAGCCGCACCACCUCGGCCGGAAACACUUGCGAAGCAGCCGCUUUGGCCUUUUCCUCGGGCGAUGGCAAUCUGUUUGUUGUUUUUUUUUGGUUUUCGAGGAGUAGGUAGGAGAGGAAUGAUCAUCCGUCUGGAACCAAAGACUCUCGAUUCAAAAUAAUUGCUCAGGAAAAAACGUAAAAAUUGACAUGAAGAAAUGAUGAAUCGAGUUACCUGUGUGGUAGGGCGCAAUCUGUGUGAUGGUUAUCGAUGUGACGUCGGUUGUCAGGCCCGACGGGGGCUGAUAGAUCGUCGAGGACGCCCUCAUCAUCGGUGAGCCAUUGCCUCAUGUGAGCCAAACUGGCCGGUCGGCGCGUUUCAAUCUCCAGGACGUUGGUUCGAUGUUUGCGACGCGAGCGGCGCAGCGUCGCGCCCAGCUCCAUCAGGCGGCCGUAAUCGGCCGCGUCUAAAUAGCUGAUGCCUUUGCCGCCGUUGGCCAUUAGCAGCACUAAACUCUCGGGCCGGUUGACAGCCGGCGAAACGUCCAGCGCUGCGGCUUUGUCGUACAGGACGGCCAGAGCGUUGGGACGGUUGGAUGGCGUCACUAAAUUCAGUUCCGGCUGUUGUAAACGGAUGACGGCCUCAAUUUGCCAUUGGAAUUCUCCUUUUAAAACUAAACAACGGAGAGAAAAAGAAAAAAAAAAUGGAGGAGAGUGGCAGCCAUCUGGCGCCGUCUGUAAAAAUUAACAAACAAAAAGAAAGUGGAAAAAAAAAAAGAAGAUCUGACACUUACCACUUGAGUCGCUGUCCCAGUAGCAGCUGCCGGGCUGCCACUUGUGAAAUGAUUGGUCUUGUGAUCGUGACUGAACGCUGCCAAAUCGCCUUCGGCUAAAACGAAAAUGCAUCGAAUGAAUCAUCAUUUCAAAACCCCAAAUCAAACUGGAAUUUUCAAAUUCAAUUCCAAAAAGUUUUCAGCGUCAUCUUGAUGUCUGGCACAGUUUCGUGACUAGCGCACGUCUAAGAGCCGCACUCGAAAAAGAAACAACAACAAAACUACAAGUUUUUUUUUUUCAUGUUGUUGUUGUUGUUGUUGUUAUCGUGGAAAAUAUUAAAGAUCCCUGGGCACGACACGACGGACGGAAGACGAGGCGGAAUAGAAGGAAAAAAAGAGAAUCAUCCCAAAUCAGAGGCGCCGCCCUUUCUUCUUCUUUCCACCAGGAUGCCUCAAUAUUAUUGUGAUGUUGCAUCGUCAGGGCAUCGUCCGAGAGAGAGAGGGACAACAAAAGAAAAUAUUCCAGCAGACUGGGCCAGUCUCUCAUCGACAACAAAAGAACCGGGGGCCAACGAAAUGAAAGGAAAGAGCAAAAAUCGUCGGAUGAAAUGUUGUCCGGCAGACGCACACAACAACCAGAAGCUCACAAAGAGAAGAGUUGUUGACGUGUAUAUUUCCUUUUGGGGGUGUACUUGUAAAUAAUAAGAAGAAAUAGCACCGGAAACAGGAAACGGUGGUACCCUGACAUCCACACAACCCCCCCCUCCCGCCCCACACACACACACACACACACACAACCAAAUAUACUAGCGGGGCACAGGCCGGCACGCAUAUGGUUUCGUAAAGUGUUGCACCCCUUCGCUAAAAAUUAGGCCCUAAACAUAGAAUUUCGAAGCUUUAACGAAAUAUAACUCAAAGAUGACCUAACCGAA